rnacentral:rRNA from 1 species
GAUGAACGCUGGCGGCGUGCCUAAUACAUGCAAGUCGAACGCUUCACUUCGGUGAAGAGUGGCGAACGGGUGAGUAAUACAUAAGUAACCUGGCAUCUACAGGGGGAUAACUGAUGGAAACGUCAGCUAAGCCCGCAUAGGUGUAGAGAUCGCAUGAACUCUAUAUGAAAAGUGCUACGGGACUGGUAGAUGAUGGACUUAUGGCGCAUUAGUUGGUUGGUAGGGUAACGGCCGACCAAGGCGACGAUGCGUAGCCGACCUGAGAGGGUGACCGGCCACACUGGGACUGAGACACGGCCCAGACUCCUACGGGAGGCAGCAGUAGGGAAUUUUCGGCAAUGGGGGAAACCCUGACCGAGCAACGCCGCGUGAAGGAAGAAGUAAUUCGUUAUGUAAACUUCUGUCAUAGAGGAAGAACGGCGGAUAUAGGGAAUGAUAUCCAAGUGACGGUACUCUAUAAGAAAGCCACGGCUAACUACGUGCCAGCCGCCGCGGUAA